rnacentral:rRNA from 1 species
AGAGUUUGAUCCUGGCUCAGGAUGAACGCUAGCUACAGGCUUAACACAUGCAAGUCGAGGGGAAACGAUGCGGAAGCUUGCUUCUGCAGGCGUCGACCGGCGCACGGGUGAGUAACGCGUAUCCAACCUGCCCCGAGGUAAGGAAUAAUCCGUAGAAAUGCGGUCUAAUACCUUAUGUGCUCCGAAGAGGACAUCUGAUUUGGAGUAAAGAUUUAUCGCCUUGGGAUGGGGAUGCGUCUGAUUAGAUUGUUGGCGGGGCAACGGCCCACCAAGUCAUCGAUCAGUAGGGGUUCUGAGAGGAAAGUCCCCCACAUUGGAACUGAGACACGGUCCAAACUCCUACGGGAGGCGGCAGUGAGGAAUAUUGGUCAAUGGGUGAGAACCUGAACCAGCCAAGUAGCGUGCAGGAUGACGGCCCUAUGGGUUGUAAACUGCUUUUGUACGGGGAUAGAGGAGCAUACGUGUAUGUUUUUGCAGGUACCGUACGAAUAAGGACCGGCUAAUUCCGUGCCAGCAGCCGCGGUAAUACGGAAGGUCCGGGCGUUUAUCCGGAUUUAUUGGGUUUAAAGGGAGCGCAGGCCGUCGGUUAAUCGUGUUGUGAAAUGUANGCGCCCAACGCCUGCACUGCAGCGCGAACUGGCUGACUUGAGUACGCACGACGUUGGCGGAUUGCCGUGUAGCGGUGAAAUGCUUANAUAUGGCGAANAACUCCGAUUGCGAAGGCAGCUGACGGGAGCGCAACUGACGCUCAUGCUCGAAAGNGGCNGGNAUCGGAACAGGAUUAGAU